rnacentral:rRNA from 1 species
CUCAGAUUGAACGCUGGCGGCAGGCCUAACACAUGCAAGUCGAGCGGUAACAUUUCUAGCUUGCUAGAAGAUGACGAGCGGCGGACGGGUGAGUAAUGCUUGGGAACAUGCCUUGAGGUGGGGGACAACAGUUGGAAACGACUGCUAAUACCGCAUAAUGUCUACGGACCAAAGGGGGCUUCGGCUCUCGCCUUUAGAUUGGCCCAAGUGGGAUUAGCUAGUUGGUGAGGUAAUGGCUCACCAAGGCGACGAUCCCUAGCUGGUUUGAGAGGAUGAUCAGCCACACUGGAACUGAGACACGGUCCAGACUCCUACGGGAGGCAGCAGUGGGGAAUAUUGCACAAUGGGCGAAAGCCUGAUGCAGCCAUGCCGCGUGUGUGAAGAAGGCCUUCGGGUUGUAAGCACUUUCAGUCAGGAGGAAGGUUAGUAGUUAACUACCGUGCUAGCUGUGACGUUACUGACAGAAGAACGCACCGGCUAACCG